ACAGACCUACUGACAUACAUUUAGCCACCCUCCAGGUUCUUACCUUUUCCUGGAGGGUGGUUUCCCUGGUCCAGUGGCAGGCUGAGGCAGAUGGGAGUUCUCUUCUUGAACUCCCCUCCUCCCUUCCUUCCUCCUCCCGCGCGGCUAUCUCCGGUGGGAGGAAGUGACGUCACUCCUCCCAGCCGGCUGCAGAACCGGAAGAGGGGCCCGGUCGCGCUGUUUAAGCGCCACAGCGCCCGACCGGGCCCCUCCUGACACAUGCUCCCCGGGUGGCCCUUAGUGCAUGGGCCACCCGGGGAGCCUCCUCAGUGUGCGGGAGCCGCAAAUCGCGGGGCCCACAGAGCAGCUGCUCUGGGCCCCCAGGAACAACUGGGCCCGGGGCAGCUGCCCCGUUUGCCCCGCGUUAAAGACGGCCCUGA